CUACCUUUUCCCUGUCGCUGUCAAUUCAGCGACCGGGCUUGGUAACCCGACCA
rnacentral:ncRNA from 1 species